ensembl:lncRNA
GGGCCUGCAGCACUGGUUUAUAAUGCUGAUGAUUAACUAAAUAGAGUCUGGGAGAGCAGGUCUGCUUGGCUUUCUCAUUUCAUGGGGCCUGCCUGACCGGGACGAAGACGGAGCAUUCUCAGGCAGUGGGCUGGAAAUUCAAGAUCUUUUUUCUCUUUCUUUUUUGGCCUCCACCCUCUAAACGUAUUCACUUUUCUUCGGUUUUGUUACAUUCCUUCCUUGGGGUACCUUUCAUGACGGUGAAAACUCAGAGGCCAUCCUUCCAGCCUGUUGAUAGGCGUCUUACCAGACAUGUGUAUUGACAAAGGGCAGUCCAGACAAGGGCAUCAGCAUAUUAAUAGCAGUGGCAGAUGGGGCUGGAUGAUGAUGACUAUGGAACUAUGAUCCUUGCGCUGGAAGAUGGAUUGAUUUCUUGUAGUUUCUUCCAUGUGACUUGAGUCAGAGUUUCUCCACUGAGCAACUGUCCAGUAUAAGAUCGUUCUACUUACAGAGGGCUUUCUCACCUGUAAAUUAGUUUCUGGUAGGAAUGUUAAUGUGAAUGUCACAUAAAAAUGUAUUUUGUAACUUUUACUUGCUGACAGAUCUGUUUUCUUCAUGACUAAAUUCUGUCUGGAAACAUAGUAAAACAAUGUGCAUAGUUUCUGAAACUCUGUUGUCUAUAACAUACUGUACCUAAUGUUAACUGUAUUUACUGUGAUAUGAAGUUGUGUAAUGUAACAGAAGAAAUGAAAUAAAG